rnacentral:rRNA from 1 species
GAUGAACGCUGGCGGUGUGCCUAAUACAUGCCAGUCGAGCGAACAGACGAGGAGCUUGCUCCUCUGACGUUAGCGGCGGACGGGUGAGUAACACGUGGAUAACCUACCUAUAAGACUGGGAUAACUUCGGGAAACCGGAGCUAAUACCGGGUAAUAUAUUGAACCGCAUGGUUCAAUAGUGAAAGACGGUUUUGCUGUCACUUAUAGAUGGAUCCGCGCCGCAUUAGCUAGUUGGUAAGGUAACGGCUUACCAAGGCAACGAUGCGUAGCCGACCUGAGAGGGUGAUCGGCCACACUGGAACUGAGACACGGUCCAGACUCCUACGGGAGGCAGCAGUAGGGAAUCUUCCGCAAUGGGCGAAAGCCUGACGGAGCAACGCCGCGUGAGUGAUGAAGGUCUUCGGAUCGUAAAACUCUGUUAUUAGGGAAGAACAAAUGUGUAAGUAACUAUGCACGUAUUGACGGUACCUAAUCAGAAAGCCACGGCUAACUACGUG